GAUGAACGCUAGCGGCAGGCCUAAUACAUGCAAGUCGAACGGUGUCUUCGGACAUAGUGGCGCACGGGUGCGUAACACGUAUGCAACCUACCUUACAUUGGGGGAUAGCCUUUCGAGAGGGAGAUUAAUACCGCAUAAGACAGUAGCUGGGCAUCCAGCAGCUGUUAAAGAUUUAUCGAUGUAAGCUGGGCAUGCGUCCAAUUAGCUAGUUGGUGAGGUAACGGCUCACCAAGGCAAUGAUUGGUAGGGGAACUGAGAGGUCAAUCCCCCACACUGGCACUGAGAUACGGGCCAGACUCCUACGGGAGGCAGCAGUAGGGAAUAUUGGGCAAUGGACGCAAGUCUGACCCAGCCAUGCCGCGUGCAGGAUGAAGGCGUUAUGCGUUGUAAACUGCUUUUUAUAGGAAGAAGGAGACCUUGCGAGGUUUGGUGACGGUACUAUAAGAAUAAGCACCGGCUAACUCCGUGCCAGAAGCCGCGGUAAAAC
rnacentral:rRNA from 1 species